CCUACGGGAGGCAGCAGUAGGGAAUUUUCGUCAAUGGGCGCAAGCCUGAACGAGCAAUGCCGCGUGAACGAGGAAGGUCUUCGGAUCGUAAAGUUCUGUUGAAGGGGAAAAAGAGCGGAGAGAGGAAAUGCUUUCUGAUUGAUAUUACCCUUCGAGGCAGUAACGGCUAACUACGUGCCAGCAGCCGCGGUAAUACGUAGGUGGCGAGCGUUAUCCGGAAUGAUGGGGCGGAAAGGGUGCGCAGGCGGUCCUGCAAGUCUGGAGUGAAACGCAUGGGCUCAACUCAUGCAUGGCUUUGGAAACUGGAGGACUGGAGAGCAGGAGAGGGCGGUGGAACUCCAUGUGUAGCGGUAAAAUGCGUAGAUAUAUGGAAGAACACCAGUGGCGAAGGCGGCCGCCUGGCCUGUUGCUGACGCUGAGGCACGAAAGCGUGGGGAGCAAAUAGGAUUAGAUACCCCUGUAGUC
rnacentral:rRNA from 1 species